AGCAGCCGCGGUAAUUCCAGCUCCAAUAGCGUAUAUUAAAGUUGUUGCAGUUAAAAAGCUCGUAGUUGAAUUUCGGGAUCAAUAUGUUGGUCGUGCCUUGGUACGUACUAGUUUAUUGGUUUCUUCCUUCUGACGAACCAUGAUGUCAUUAAUUUGGUGUCAUGGGGAAUCAGGACUGUUACUUUGAAAAAAUUAGAGUGUUUAAAGCAGGCUUACGCUUGAAUACAUUAGCAUGGAAUAAUGAAAUAGGACGUUUGAUUCUAUUUUGUUGGUUUCUAGGAUCGACGUAAUGAUUAAUAGGGAUAGUUGGGGGCAUUAGUAUUCAAUUGUCAGAGGUGAAAUUCUUGGAUUUAUUGAAGACUAACUACUGCGAAAGCAUUUGCCAAGGAUGUUUUCAUUAAUCAAGAACGAAAGUUAGGGGAUCGAAGACGAUCAGAUACCGUCGUAGUCUUAACCAUAAACUAUGCCGACUAGGGAUCGGAUGAUGUUAAUUUUUUAAUGACUCAUUCGGCGCCUUACG
rnacentral:rRNA from 1 species